rnacentral:rRNA from 1 species
CCGACACAGGUGGACUGGUAGAGAAUACCAAGGCGCUUGAGAGAACUCGGGUGAAGGAACUAGGCAAAAUGGUACCGUAACUUCGGGAGAAGGUACGCCACCGAUGGUGAAGGGCUUGCCCCGUAAGCUGUUGGUGGUCGCAGUGAAAAGGCCCCUGCAACUGUUUAUUAAAAACACAGCACUCUGCAAACACGAAAGUGGACGUAUAGGGUGUGACGCCUGCCCGGUGCCGGAAGGUUAAUUGAUUGGGUUAGCUUCGGCGAAGCUCAUGAUCGAAGCCCCGGUAAACGGCGGCCGUAACGAUAACGGUC